rnacentral:lncRNA from 1 species
ACAGUUCGAGUGCCAUAAAAGUUCAAGUCCCUGACGAGUGGCUUGCUGCUGCAACUGGCGCCACUUUUAGUUGUUGUUUUUUGCUUCAGUUGCGUUAGCAGUAGCAGCUGUUCAUUUGCAGAGGCUUAAAAUGUCGAAGCCGGUUGGAGCAAGAGUUCCAAAACUUUGGCUACUUCGCCUGAAGCAACUAGAGCACUGCUGUAUCGCUAAUAUACCCAGAUAUUAUGUUCGUCUAGACUCUAGAGUUUAGGCUCUAAGAAGUAAGUCUAAGAAUUAAAAGUCAAAUGGACCACGAAACAAGCUUGGGCUGUUAUUAAACAAACUUUCGAGUUGGGUGGCAAUGUUACGCAAAAAGUUUGCGAGUGCUCCAUAAAGUCGUAAGUCACAAGUCGUAAAGUGUUUUAUUAUUAGGCGUCGCACUCAAAAAC